rnacentral:ncRNA from 1 species
CGUCUUCAGGGCAGGGUGCAAUUCCCGAUUGGCGGUACAGUCCGCAAGCGCGCAGGCGCAGACCCGGUGUAACUCCGGGACCAACAGUAUAGUCUGGAUGAAAGAAGAUG